CUGAUCCAGCAUGCCGCGUGUGUGAGAGGCCUUCGGGUUGUAAAGCACUUUUGUCCGGAAAGAAAUCCUUGGCUCUAAUACAGUCGGGGGAUGACGGUACCGGAAGAAUAAGCACCGGCUAACUACGUGCCAGCAGCCGCGGUAAUACGUAGGGUGCGAGCGUUAAUCGGAAUUACUGGGCGUAAAGCGUGCGCAGGCGGUUUGCUAAGACCGAUGUGAAAUCCCCGGGCUCAACCUGGGAACUGCAUUGGUGACUGGCAGGCUAGAGUAUGGCAGAGGGGGGUAGAAUUCCACGUGUAGCAGUGAAAUGCGUAGAGAUGUGGAGGAAUACCGAUGGCGAAGGCAGCCCCCUGGGCCAAUACUGACGCUCAUGCACCAAAGCGUGGGGAGCAAACACGAUUAGGCACCCCCGUAG
rnacentral:rRNA from 1 species